rnacentral:rRNA from 1 species
GUGGGGAAUCUUCCACAAUGGACGAAAGUCUGAUGGAGCAACGCCGCGUGAGUGAAGAAGGGUUUCGGCUCGUAAAGCUCUGUUGUCGGGGACGAAUGUGCAGUAUUUGAAUAAAGUAGUGUAAUGACGGUACCUGACGAGGAAGCCACGGCUAACUACGUGCCAGCAGCCGCGGUAAUACGUAGGUGGCAAGCGUUGUCCGGAAUUAUUGGGCGUAAAGGGAGCGCAGGCGGGAAGGUAAGUCGGUCUUACAAGUGCGGGGCUCAACCCCGUGAUGGGAUCUAAACUAUCUUUCUUGAGUGCAGGAGAGGAAAGUGGAAUUCCUAGUGUAGCGGUGAAAUGCGUAGAUAUUAGGAGGAACACCAGUGGCGAAGGCGACUUUCUGGACUGUAACUGACGCUGAGGCUCGAAAGCCAGGGGAGCGAACGGGAUUAGAUACCCGUGUAGUCC